rnacentral:lncRNA from 1 species
GUGCGGUUUCAAUCCCUUUUUUUGCUCUAAUUCAAACUUUUGAAUUAAGGUAAAAUUUUCUCUUAAAAUCAUAUUCAAUAUCUUAUUAUCAACUUUACCUGACAUUCAUCUCUCUAGAAAGCAAAAUCAUCUGCCUUCUCUAUAGAAUACUCCAACCAAAACCACUUUAAUACCACUGAAUCCAAUGAAUCCAAACCAAAAUUCUCAUUUCAUCCCUCCCAAACCACCAAAUAGUGACUAAAACGA